rnacentral:rRNA from 1 species
GAUGAACGCUGGCGGCGUGCCUAAUACAUGCAAGUCGAGCGAAGCGGGGACGGGUGAGUAACACGUGGAUAACCUCCUAUAAGACUGGGAUAACUUAGGGAAAACGGAGCUAAACCGGAAACUUAUAGAUGGAUCCGUGCUGCAUUAGCUAGUUGGUAAGGUAACGGCUUACAAGUGCAACGAUGCAUAGCCGACCGGAGAGGGGUAUCGGCAACACUGGAACUGUGACACGGUCCAGAAUCCUACGGGAGGCAGCAGUAGGGAAUCGUCCGCAAUGGGCGAAAGCCUGACGGAGCAACGCCGCGUGAGUGAUGAAGGUCUUCGGAUCGUAAAACUCUGUUAUUAGGGAAGCGGUACCUAAUCAGAAAGCCACGGCUAACUACGUGCCAGCAGCCGCGGUAAUUC